rnacentral:rRNA from 1 species
GUGGGGAAUCUUAGACAAUGGGGGAAACCCUGAUCUAGCCAUGCCGCGUGAGCGCUGAAGGCCUUAGGGUUGUAAAGCUCUUUCAGCUGGGAAGAUAAUGACGGUACCAGCAGAAGAAGCCCCGGCUAACUCCGUGCCAGCAGCCGCGGUAAUACGGAGGGGGCUAGCGUUGUUCGGAAUUACUGGGCGUACAGCGCGCGUAGGCGGACCAGAAAGUUGGUGGUGACAUCCCAGGGCUCAACCUUGGAACUGCCUUCAAAUCUCCUGGUCUGGAGUUCUAGAGAGGUGAGUGGAAUUCCGAGUGUAGAGGUGGAAUUCGUAGAUAUUCGGAGGAACACCAGUGGCGAAGGCGGCUCACUGGCUCGAUACUGACGCUGAGGUGCGAAAGCGUGGGGAGCAAACAGGAUUAGAUACCCGGGUAGUCC